rnacentral:rRNA from 1 species
AUUGAACGCUGGCGGCAGGCCUAACACAUGCAAGUCGAACGAGUGGCGGACGGGUGAGUAAUGUCUGGGACACUGCCUGAUGGAGGGGUAUAACUACUGGAAACGGUAGCUAAUACCGUAUACCCUCGGAUGUGCCCAGAGGGGAUUAGCUUGUAGGUGGGGUAAAGGCUCACCUAGGAGACGAUCCCUAGCUGUUCUGAGAGGAGGACCAGCCACACUGGAACUGAGACACGGUCCAGACUCCUACGGGAGGCAGCAGUGGGGAAUAUUGCACAAUGGGCGCAAGCCUGAUGCAGCCAUGCCGCGUGUAUGAAGAAGGCCUUCGGGUGGUAAAGUACUUUCAGCGGGGAGGCGUUACCCGCAGAAGAAGCACCGGCUAACUCCGUGCCAGCAGCCGCGGUAAUAC